AUCACGUCUCCGUCUCUGCCCUCCCUUUUAUUUUUGCUUCUUGCGCAACUUUGAGUUAGAUCCGAUUAAGACUCGAGGAAUCGACCGCACUCCGGAGCUGGGAGGGGGAACGAUGCGAUCUGCGCUCCCUCGGCGGGGACAGAAUCCACACCGAUUUGGGGAGCAGCUCUUCAGCCACUGCGAGGUGCAGUUGAGGAUCCUGGCAAUGAGUUUCCUUGUGACUGUAGAGACACCCUUCCACAGUUACCAAGAUCAGAUUUGUCUCCUUUGAAGAUGAUCAUAAUUACAGCAUCUGAGAUCCACUGACGUGUCCUCAUCUUCCCAAACAGUGGAGAUGAGAUGGAGUGUUCUGCGGGCAGCCCACAAGUGUCGCCACGCUUCCGGCGCCAAUGUAGCGUGCCCACGACUUCCUAACCCGUACGUCUUUGGAAUGUGGGAGGAAAUCGGAGCACCUAGAGGAAACCCACACAGACACGGGGAGAACGUACAAACUCCUUAUAAACAGCAGCCGGAAUUGGAACCAGGUCGCUGGCACGGUUAUAGCAUCAUGCUAACUGCUACACUAAUGUGCCUGCCCAUGGCAACAUCCAGACACUUGUACGAGGGAGGUCUGAAAUGCUAGUAAACUCUUGUGCCUAGUUUGUUUGUCUCAUUAUCUGACCUGAUGGAAGAGCAGAUGAAGUCUCCUCUACUUGUGCAUAGAAUUUGGUUGACUCUCCUAAUGCAAUAUUAGUAAUAAACUUGAGAUGUGGCACAGAUCGGUGUCCUGGAAUGAUCCAUAGAUUAGGAAGCUAAGAGUGACAAUGAUUUGCCUUUGGCUGCAAGACCAGUCCAUGCAUGAAUGCAUAUAAGGCUGUAUUUCAGCUUACAAGAGGUCCCAAUGUGGACUGUUUGGUGAAGCAUGUAUUACAUAAACAUUACUCCUCAGAGAAGUCUGGAUAAGAGCAUGCAUCCUCGUAAUCCCUGAAUAGAUUAGGUCUUCAUUUGUGAUCCCUUCUGUACUUCACCUCAAGUGGUUCCUGAACCUGCCUGUGGUUCUUUUGACACCCAUAUUCUAGUCCCAUCCCACAGAGCAAGAGUGGAGUUAGAUGUAGAUAAAUACCCAUUGGAAGUUAUGUUUGAAUCCAAAAAUGUAGUUGGAGGUACAAGUAAGAUCCAGUCUUAUGUGAGAGCAAUGUAUAGAGUAAGCAGUGAGGUUGCAGAAUGCUAUGCAGCAGCUUGACAAACAAUGCAGUUUGAGUGUUGUGAAUGCAAAAUGCAUGUUACACCACUGCUGAUGUCAUCGAGGUGAAUUUCCCACCAGAUCCAUAUCCUAACGCCAACAAAAAUCCCGAAGGGAAGUCGGGAGUCAGUUUCUCCCCCAGUCAUUAAGAGGCCUGGAAAUGGCCACAAUUUUGCUCUGCUCUUGGUUAAUCCUAUUCUCAAUUGCACAGCACUUUUUUCAAAAUUAUGUGAACAAAUUUCAA